UUAAAAAUUCAACCUCAAAACUUUAACUACGAUAUCUCCGUAACCACGGGGUUUACACGAUAAUAGUUGUCCGUGGAGGGUAAAAAGCCCAAGCUAAACUACCCCUACUUCACCCCUAGCCCCAUAAAUUAGAGGCCGAUUUUGUAAAUUAUUACCGAAUGUAAUAACAAUUAAAUCAUAAAGUUAGAACUUAAAAUAGUAAAAACGAUUCUUUUAAUACUGUUUCAGAAUCUUAUGUAGCACUAAUAAAGGCAAGAUUGCAAAUAGAAGUAUCUGAUAAAUGAUUGAGAGUUUGAGGUGAAAAUGACAAAUACCUAUAUCAUUAACUUUUAUCUACCAGAUAUCAGCAACAUCUAACAGACCCCAAGAGUCAGCCAUCGCACAAAAACAAAUUGAAUCUAAUUGUCACUUAAAUGUAAGUAUUUCUUACAAU
rnacentral:misc_RNA from 1 species